AAUAAUGAGGCUAUAUACAGGGGGUACCGGUACAGAGUCAAUGUGGAGGCUAUAUACAGGGGGUACCGGUACAGAGUCAAUGUGGAGGCUAUAUACAGGGGGUACCAGUACAGAGUCAAUGUGGAGGCUAUAUACAGGGGGUACCGGUACAGAGUCAAUGUGGAGGCUAUAUACAGGGGGUACCAGUACAGAGUCAGUGUGGAGGCUAUAUACAGGGGGCACCGGUACAGAGUCAAUGUGGAGGCUAAAUACAGGGGGCACUGGUACAGAGUCAAUGUGGAGGCUAUAUACAGGGGGUACCAGUACAGAGUCAAUGUGGAGGCUAUAUACAGGGG
ensembl:lncRNA